rnacentral:rRNA from 1 species
GACGAACGCUGGCGGCGUGCUUAACACAUGCAAGUCGAACGGAAAGGCCCUGCUUUUGUGGGGUGCUCGAGUGGCGAACGGGUGAGUAACACGUGAGUAACCUGCCCUUGACUUUGGGAUAACUUCAGGAAACUGGGGCUAAUACCGGAUAGGAGCUCCUGCUGCAUGGUGGGGGUUGGAAAGUUUCGGCGGUUGGGGAUGGACUCGCGGCUUAUCAGCUUGUUGGUGGGGUAGUGGCUUACCAAGGCUUUGACGGGUAGCCGGCCUGAGAGGGUGACCGGCCACAUUGGGACUGAGGUACGGCCCAGACUCCUACGGGAGGCAGCGGUGGGGAAUAUUGCACAAUGGGCGGAAGCCUGAUGCAGCAACGCCGCGUGCGGGAUAACGGCCUUCGGGUUGUAAACCGCUUUCGCCUGUGACGAAGCGUGAGUGACGGUAAUGGGUAAAGAAGCACCGGCUAACUACGUG